AAAUUGAAGAGUUUGAUCAUGGCUCAGAUUGAACGCUGGCGGCAGGCCUAACACAUGCAAGUCGAACGGUAACAGGAAGCAGCUUGCUGUUUCGCUGACGAGUGGCGGACGGGUGAGUAAUGUCUGGGAAACUGCCUGAUGGAGGGGGAUAACUACUGGAAACGGUGGCUAAUACCGCAUAACGUCGCAAGACCAAAGAGGGGGACCUUCGGGCCUCUUGCCAUCAGAUGUGCCCAGAUGGGAUUAGCUAGUUGGUGAGGUAACGGCUCACCAAGGCGACGAUCCCUAGCUGGUCUGAGAGGAUGACCAGCCACACUGGAACUGAGACACGGUCCAGACUCCUACGGGAGGCAGCAGUGGGGAAUAUUGCACAAUGGGCGCAAGCCUGAUGCAGCCAUGCCGCGUGUAUGAAGAAGGCCUUCGGGUUGUAAAGUACUUUCAGCGGGGAGGAAGGUGUUGUGGUUAAUAACCGCAGCAAUUGACGUUACCCGCAGAA
rnacentral:rRNA from 1 species